rnacentral:rRNA from 1 species
GUAUACUUUAGGAGGGGCUUGCGCCAUAUUAGUUAGUUGGUAGGGUAAUGGCCUACCAAGACGAUGAUGUGUAGCUGGACUGAGAGGUUGAACAGCCACAUUGGGACUGAGACACGGCCCAAACUCCUACGGGAGGCAGCAGUAAGGAAUUUUCGGCAAUGGAGGAAACUCUGACCGAGCAACGCCGCGUGAACGACGAAGUACUUUGGUAUGUAAAGUUCUUUUAUCAAGGAAGAAAAGCAAGUGGCGAACCAUUUGUUUGCCGGUACUUGAUGAAUAAGCCCCGGCUAAUUAUGUGCCAGCAGCCGCGGUAAGACAUAAGGGGCAAGUGUUAUCCGGAAUUAUUGGGCGUAAAGGGUGCGUAGGCGGUCUAGUAAGUCAGUGGUGUAAUGGCAACGCUCAACGUUGUCCGGCUAUUGAAACUGCUAAACUUGAGUUAGAUAGAGGCGAGUGGAAUUCCAUGUGUAGCGGUAAAAUGCGUAAAUAUAUGGAGGAACACCAGAGGCGUAGGCGGCUCGCUGGGUCUUAACUGACGCUGAGGCACGAAAGCGUGGGGAGCAAACAGGAUUAGAUACCCUGGUAGUCCACGCCGUAAACGAUGAGUACUAAGUGUCGGGUUAAACCGGUACUGAAGUUAACACAUUAAGUACUCCGCCUGAGUAGUACGUACGCAAGUAUGAAACUUAAAGGAAUUGACGGGACUCCGCACAAGCGGUGGAUCAUGUUGUUUAAUUCGAAGAUACCCGAAAAACCUUACCAGGUCUUGACAUGUUUUUGCGAAACGGUAGUAAUAUCGUAGAGGUUAUCAGAAACACAGGUGGUGCAUGGUUGUCGUCAGCUCGUGUCGUGAGAUGUUAGGUUAAGUCCUAAAACGAGCGAAACCCUUAUCGUUAGUUGCCAGCACGUUAUGGUGGGGACUUUAACGAGACUGCCAGUGAUAAACUGGAGGAAGGUGAGGAUCACGUCAAAUCAGCAUGCCCCUUAUGACCUGGGCUACAAACGUGAUACAAUGGCUGUUACAAAGGGUAGCUGAAACGUAAGUUCUUGGCCAAUCCCCAAAAACAGUCUCAGUCCGGAUUGAAGUCUGCAACUCGACUUCAUGAAGUUGGAAUCGCUAGUAAUCGC